rnacentral:rRNA from 1 species
AACGGACGCUGGCGGCAUGCCUAACACAUGCAAGUCGAACGAGACCUUCGGGUCUAGUGGCGCACGGGUGCGUAACGCGUGGGAACCUGCCCUUAGGUUCGGAAUAACUCCCCGAAAGGGGUGCUAAUACCGGAUAAUGUCUUCGGACCAAAGAUUUAUCGCCUUUGGAUGGGCCCGCGUUGGAUUAGCUAGUUGGUAGGGUAAAAGCCUACCAAGGCGACGAUCCAUAGCUGGUUUGAGAGGAUGAUCAGCCACACUGGGACUGAGACACGGCCCAGACUCCUACGGGAGGCAGCAGUGGGGAAUAUUGGACAAUGGGCGAAAGCCUGAUCCAGCAAUGCCGCGUGAGUGAUGAAGGCCUUAGGGUUGUAAAGCUCUUUUACCCGGGAUGAUAAUGACAGUACCGGAAGAAUAAGCUCCGGCUAACUCCGUG